rnacentral:rRNA from 1 species
AGAGUUUGAUCCUGGCUCAGGACGAACGCUGGCGGCGCGCUUAACACAUGCAAGUCGAGCGAGGGCUCUUCUCCCGCAAGGGAGGGGAGUUCCUAGCGGCGAACGGGUGAGUAACACGUGGGCAACCUUUCCUAUCGCGGGGGAUAACAGCGGGAAACCGCUGCUAAUACCGCAUGUCGUCAUCGGUCGCAUGGCCGGUGAAAAAAGCAGCAAUGCACGAUGGGGUGGGCCCGCGGCCUAUCAGCUAGUCGGUGGGGUAACGGCCUACCGAGGCGAUGACGGGUAGCUGGUCUGAGAGGACGACCAGCCACACGGGGACUGAGACACGGCCCCGACUCCUACGGGAGGCAGCAGUGAGGAAUCUUCCGCAAUGGGCGAAAGCCUGACGGAGCGACGCCGCGUGUGGGAUGAAGUCCUUCGGGAUGUAAACCACUGUUGGAGGGGAAGACUUCGACGGUACCCUCCGAGAAAGCCCCGGCUAACUACGUGCCAGCAGCCGC